AAUUAGCCCUACAACACUGGCUUGAAGCUAUUGAUCCUCGCCAUCGGUACGGUCACAACUUACACUUGUAUUAUGAUAUGUGGUUCAAAAGUGAGAGCACCCAGCCAUUCUUCUACUGGUUGGAUGUUGGAGAUGGUAAGGAAGUCAAUCUGGAGAAAUGUCCAAGGACUGUUCUACAACGCCAGUGCAUCAAAUAUCUUGGACCGAAAGAAAGGGAAGCAUACGAAGUCAUAGUUGAAAAUGGGAAGCUUGUUUAUAGAGAAAAUGGAAAUCUUGUGGAUACAGUUGA
rnacentral:misc_RNA from 1 species